rnacentral:rRNA from 1 species
GACGAACGCUGGCGGCGUGCUUAACACAUGCAAGUCGAACGGUAAGGCUCCAGCUUGCUGGGGUACACGAGUGGCGAACGGGUGAGUAACACGUGGGUGACCUGCCCUGCACUUCGGGAUAAGCCUGGGAAACUGGGUCUAAUACCGGAUAGGACUGCACCGUGAGAGUGUGGUGGAAAGUUUUUUCGGUGUGGGAUGGGCCCGCGGCCUAUCAGCUUGUUGGUGGGGUAAUGGCCUACCAAGGCGGCGACGGGUAGCCGGCCUGAGAGGGUGGACGGCCACAUUGGGACUGAGACACGGCCCAG